CCUACGGGAGGCAGCAGUGAGGAAUAUUGGUCAAUGGCCGGAAGGCUGAACCAGCCAAGCCGCGUGAAGGACGAAGGUGCUAAGCAUUGUAAACUUCUUUUGUCAAGGGAUAAAUUCAGGCUCGAGAGCCUGACCGAGGGUACUUGAAGAAAAAGCAUCGGCUAACUCCGUGCCAGCAGCCGCGGUAAUACGGAGGAUGGGAGCGUUAUCCGGAUUUAGUGGGUUUAAAGGGUGCGUAGGCGGAAUGGUAAGUCAGCGGUAAAAUGCCGGGGCUCAACCCCGAGGGGGCCGUUGAAACUGGCAGUCUUGAGAUGUCGAGAGGUAUGCGGAAUGCGCAGUGUAGCGGGGAAAUGCUUAGAUAUUACGCAGAACUCCGAUUGCGAAGGCAGCAUACCGGCGGCGAUCUGACGCUGAGGCACGAAAGCGUGGGGAUCAAACAGGAUUAGAUACCCUAGUAGUC
rnacentral:rRNA from 1 species